rnacentral:rRNA from 1 species
GUCUCUUGGAGUGUGGCCUUGAGCCGUGGCUUUCGGAGCUAACGCGUUAAGUAGACCGCCUGGGGAGUACGGUCGCAAGAUUAAAACUCAAAUGAAUUGACGGGGGCCCGCACAAGCGGUGGAGCAUGUGGUUUAAUUCGAUGCAACGCGAAGAACCUUACCUACUCUUGACAUCCAGAGAAUUUUCCAGAGAUGGAUUGGUGCCUUCGGGAACUCUGAGACAGGUGCUGCAUGGCUGUCGUCAGCUCGUGUUGUGAAAUGUUGGGUUAAGUCCCGCAACGAGCGCAACCCUUAUCCUUGUUUGCCAGCGAGUAAUGUCGGGAACUCCAGGGAGACUGCCGGUGAUAAACCGGAGGAAGGUGGGGACGACGUCAAGUCAUCAUGGCCCUUACGAGUAGGGCUACACACGUGCUACAAUGGCGCAUACAGAGGGCAGCAAGCUAGCGAUAGUGAGCGAAUCCCAAAAAGUGCGUCGUAGUCCGGAUUGGAGUCUGCAACUCGACUCCAUGAAGUCGGAAUCGCUAGUAAUCGUGGAUCAGAAUGCCACGGUGAAUACGUUCCCCGGGCCUUGUACACACCGCCCGUCACACCAUGGG